CGAAAGCCUGACGGAGCAACGCCGCGUGAGGGAUGAAGGCCUCUGGGCUGUAAACCUCUUUUAUCAAGGAAGAAGAUCUGACGGUACUUGAUGAAUAAGCCACGGCUAAUUCCGUGCCAGCAGCCGCGGUAAUACGGGAGUGGCAAGCGUUAUCCGGAAUUAUUGGGCGUAAAGCGUCCGCAGGCGGUCUUUUAAGUCUGUCGUCAAAGCGUGGAGCUUAACUCCAUUUCUGCGAUGGAAACUGGAAGACUAGAGUGUGGUAGGGGCAGAGGGAAUUCCCGGUGUAGCGGUGAAAUGCGUAGAUAUCGGGAAGAACACCAGUGGCGAAGGCGCUCUGCUGGGCCAUAACUGACGCUCAUGGACGAAAGCCAGGGGAGCG
rnacentral:rRNA from 1 species